rnacentral:rRNA from 1 species
UACGAAGGGGGCUAGCGUUGCUCGGAAUCACUGGGCGUAAAGGGUGCGUAGGCGGGUUAUUAAGUCAGAGGUGAAAUCCUGGAGCUCAACUCCAGAACUGCCUUUGAUACUGAUAGUCUUGAGUAUGGGAGAGGUGAGUGGAACUGCGAGUGUAGAGGUGAAAUUCGUAGAUAUUCGCAAGAACACCAGUGGCGAAGGCGGCUCACUGGCCCGUAACUGACGCUGAGGCACGAAAGCGUGGGGAGCAA